GUAGCGCCUCGUGAAUUCAUCUCCGGGGGUAGAGCACUGUUUCGGCUAGGGGGCCAUCCCGGCUUACCAACCCGAUGCAAACUGCGAAUACCGGAGAAUGUUAUCACGGGAGACACACGGCGGGUGCUAACGUCCGUCGUGAAGAGGGAAACAACCCAGACCGCCAGCUAAGGUCCCAAAGUCAUGGUUAAGUGGGAAACGAUGUGGGAAGGCCCAGACAGCCAGGAUGUUGGCUUAGAAGCAGCCAUCAUUUAAAGAAAGCGUAAUAGCUCACUGGUCGAGUCGGCCUGCGCGGAAGAUGUAACGGGGCUAAACCAUGCACCGAAGCUGCGGCAGCGACGCUUAUGCGUUGUUGGGUAGGGGAGCGUUCUGUAAGCCUG
rnacentral:rRNA from 1 species